rnacentral:antisense_RNA from 1 species
CUUCACCGAACCGAGCCACAACGGCUGGUCGGCCGGGCGGUUCCGGCCGUACGUGGCCAGGACGGCCUGAGCCUC